rnacentral:piRNA from 1 species
GUUUCCAUCUCUAACUCCCUCGUGUGCAG